AGUGGUAAAGGCUUCCGGGAGUUGCAGGCCAUCUGGGGACCCAAGGCUGGGAACAACCGGCUUAGAGAGUUUUCUGCGGGAACGCUUUCGUUCGCUUCCCUAGACUAGAGGGGAGAAGUCUUAAAUCCCUCCCCCUCAAAGGAGAAGCCCCUGCAUUCCAGAGGAUGGCACGAUGGCAGGGAAAGGGGUACAAGCUGCUGUCAGUGUGCAAGAAGUAAAACUUGACAGGGGACGCAGGAGCCCAGGGGGUGGGGGGAGCCUUUCCUUCCUGGAGGCCAAUGCUAGUGAUGCCAAGAGGCUGGAGGUGGCUCCCUUUGUGCCCUCUUCGAUGAUGACACAAAGGGGGGGGAGCUGUGAAGGAGGGCAGGAGUGAGGCAAGGCAGCCCAAGGGGUCUCCGGCUUGCAGGAAACACCAGGCAGAGCCAGCCUCUCUCCCCCACCCCGCCAUCAAGCCAACCGGGCUACCACCCAUGGCUACCGGCACGUUCCUCCUGCUUGCCACCUUGGCCUUGACUAUCUCGGCUGUGCCUUCCUUGAUGAGAGAGGCGGCCACCUCAAAAUCAUCCUGUAAGCCGCAGAUCCGAUACCGCAAGCCUUCCCUGGACACCCUUCCGUGGCCAGGGUAUUGGGUGCCCCUGAUGAUCAUCAUUGGGGGCUGCUGUGGCCUGGCCUGGUGCAUCCUCUACAUGACCUACAACAUCAGCCAAAGAGGAGAGGAGGAGUCGACGCAGCUUCCCAGCAAAGCGGAAGAGCCAGCCGUACCCUUGGAUGGCCAGAAAACCUGGAGCAGGACAUUAUUUCGAGCUGAUCCUGACGUUUCCAACAUGGGGACGGAGAACUCUCCCUGGGUGGAAGGCAUGGCCGGGAGUGAGAGGAUUGGGAGCUCGGACCGGCUGGAAAAGAAAUUCACCAACGAGGGGAUCGGGAGCUCUCCCUGGCUGGAAAGCAGGACAACCACCGGUGAGAGGAUCGGGAGCUCAGCCUCACUGGAAAAGAAAUUCACCAACGUGGGGAUCGGCAGCUCUCCCUGGCUGGAAAAUAACCUCGCCAGGGAGCCAGAGAGGAGCACCAUUCAACUGGAGCGGAAAGCCACCAGCAAAAGGACUGGGAUGUUUAGCCAGCCAUUGGAAAGUCCUGCCGUAGCCGAGAGGGUCGGGAGCUUUACCUACUUUGAGAAUAAUGCUCUGAGUGAGAGGAUCGGAAGCGCUGCUCUGCUGGAGAAUAACAUGGCAAGGGAGAGGAUGGGCGGCUCUUCUCCUUCUCAGGAGACAUGUCUCCCUGCCAGUGAGAGGAGCAGAAGCGUCCCUCAGCUGGAAAAUAAAAUCCCCACCCAAACAACCGAAGGGCCGGACUCUCUGGGGGCAUCUGGGCCACCUCCACAGUGGCCUGGCUGGGGCGAAGAAGCCAGCAGCGGCAACCUCUGGCGUUUCAUGGAGAAAGAGCUGGAGAGACUCCUGGGGGCCUUGCGCCUUCACCACUCCAGCACGCCAACCCCUCCGGAGGAGCCCCCCAAGCUACCGAACGAGGAGCCCCCCAAGCUACCGAACGAGGAGCCCCUCAAGCUACCGAACGAGGAGCUCCCAGUGCCCCCUUCUCCAGCUACAGAGGCACCACGUCCUCCUCCAGCUACAGAGGCACCAAAUCCUCAGGCCAAGGCAGCAUCUAGCUCCCUGGAAAGCCAGGAGAAUCAGCCCUGGAUGCUGUUUAUCAUCCACGAGGUCCCC
rnacentral:lncRNA from 1 species